AUGUUACGGACCUUUUCUGAUGCUAUGGGACAGAAGCAUCCUAUAUCUGUGAUCACGGAUGGGGACCUUGCAAUGCAGAGAGCAACCAGGGUGGUGUGGCCUGACUCAAACCAUAGGCUCUAUAUAUGGCACAUUCAGCAGAACAUUGUAUGUCAUCUGCAUGAUGACGCGGUAAAGGAGGAAUUCAGAUUAUUCAUAUAUGAUACAUCUUCCAUUGAAGAGCAUGAGAGGAAAUGGUUACAAUUCUUACAACGGAAUAAAGUAACAAGUGAGGACUCCUGGUUGCAUCAGAUGUAUAAGAUGAGAAAAUUGUGGUGUGCUCCAUAUCUUGAGGGUCGUUGUUUCUCGGGAUUGAGCAGCAAUCAGCAUAGUGAUAGUUUAAACUCGGUGCUACAUACGCAUCUUGAUGCUAAGAUGACGUUGUUUCAAAUGCUAGAGCACUAA
rnacentral:rRNA from 1 species